rnacentral:rRNA from 1 species
UACGUAGGGGGCUAGCGUUGUCCGGAAUCAUUGGGCGUAAAGCGCGUGUAGGCGGCCCGGUAAGUCCGCUGUGAAAGUCGGGGGCUCAACCCUCGAAAGCCGGUGGAUACUGUCGGGCUCGAGUACGGGAGAGGCGAGUGGAAUUCCUGGUGUAGCGGUGAAAUGCGCAGAUAUCAGGAGGAACACCGAUUGCGAAGGCAGCUCGCUGGAACGUUACUGACGCUGAGACGCGAAAGCGUGGGAGCAAACAGG